rnacentral:rRNA from 1 species
CGAAGGAUGCAAGCGUUAUCCGGAUUCAUUGGGUUUAAAGGGAGCGUAGGUGGCCUUAUAAGUCAGUGGUGAAAUCUCUCGGCUUAACCGAGAAAUUGCCAUUGAUACUGUAGGGCUUGAGUAUAGUUGCCGUUGGCGGAAUAUGACAUGUAGUGGUGAAAUACAUAGAGAUGUCAUAGAACACCGAUUGCGAAGGCAGCUGACGAAACUAUAACUGACACUGAGGCACGAAAGUGCGGGGAUCAAACAGGAUUAGAUACCCUGGUAGUCCGCACUGUAAACGAUGAUUACUCGCUGCUAGAGGGCAACUUUUAGUGGCUUAGCGAAAGCGAUAAGUAAUCCACCUGGGGAGUACGCCGGCAACGGUG